UACGAGGUGCACAAACGUUAUUCGGAUUUACUGGGCUUAAAGCGUGCGUAGGCGGCCUGGCAAGUUGGGUGUGAAAUCCCUCGGCUCAACCGAGGAAUUGCGCCCAAAACUGCUGGGCUGGAGUGAGACAGAGGUGAGCGGAACUGAUGGUGGAGCGGUGAAAUGCGUUGAUAUCAUCAGGAACACCGGUGGCGAAGGCGGCUCACUGGGUCUCUACUGACGCUGAGGCACGAAAGCUAGGGGAGCAAACGGG
rnacentral:rRNA from 1 species